GUCUAUGGCCAUACCACCCUGAACAAACUCGAUCCCAUCUGAUCUCAGAAGCUAAGCAGGGUCGGGCCUGGUUAGUACUUGGAUGGGAGACCACCGAGGAAGACCAGGUGCUGUAGGCA
rfam:Pteropus alecto contig37198, whole genome shotgun sequence.